UUCCGGUUGAUCCCGCCGGACCCCACUGCUAUCGGGAUGGGACUAAGACAUGCUAGUCGAGCGCCUUCAAGCCACGAAGAAGGCGCGGCGCACAGCUCAGUAACACGUGUUAACCUGCCCUUAGGGCAAGAACAACCCCGGGAAACUGGGGCUAAUUCUCGAUAGGUGAAGAACUCUGGAAUGAGUCUUCGCCCGAAAAGGCGUUUAAAUCAUGCUUUAGGCGUCGCCUAAGGAUGGGACCGCGUCCGAUCAGGUUGUUGGUGAGGUAAUGGCCCACCAAGCCUAUAACCGGUGCGGGCCGUGAGAGCGGGAGCCCGGAGAUGGGUACUGAGACAAGGACCCAGGCCCUACGGGGCGCAGCAGUCGCGAAAACUUUGCAAUACACGAAAGUGUGACAGGGUCAUCCCGAGUGCCGACCGCUGAGGUUGGCUUUUAACCAGUUUAGAAAGCUGGUAGAAUAAGGAGAGGGCAAGUCUGGUGUCAGCCGCCGCGGUAAUACCAGCUCUCCGAGUGGUGUAGACGUUUAUUGGGCCUAAAGCAUCCGUAGCUUGCUGGGCAAGUCCCCUGUUAAACCCACCGAUUUAAUCGUUGGCUUGCGGGGGAAACUGCUCGGCUAGGGGACGAGAGAGGCAGACGGUAUUUCCGGGGUAGGGGUGAAAUCCUAUAAUCCCGGGAAGACCACCAGUGGCGAAGGCUGUCUGCUAGAACGAGCCCGACGGUGAGGGAUGAAAGCUGGGGGAGCGAACCGGAUUAGAUACCCGGGUAGUCCCAGCUGUAAACGAUGCAGGCUAGGUGUUUGGACGGCCACGUGCCGUUCUAGUGCCGCAGGGAAGCUGUUAAGCCUGCCGCCUGGGGAGUACGAUCGCAAGAUUGAAACUUAAAGGAAUUGGCGGGGGAGCACCACAAGGGGUGAAGCUUGCGGUUUAAUUGGAGUCAACGCCGGA
rnacentral:rRNA from 1 species